rnacentral:rRNA from 1 species
CACGUAGGGCGCAAGCGUUGUCCGGAAUUAUUGGGCGUAAAGAGCUCGUAGGCGGUUUGGCAAGUCGGGUGUGAAAACUCCGGCUCAACUCGGAGACGCCACUCGAUACUGCUAUGACUCGAGUCCGGUAGGGGAGUGCAGAAUUCCUGGUGUAGCGGUGAAAUGCGCAGAUAUCAGAGAACACGUGGCGAAGGCGGCACGUCUGGGCGGUACUGACGCUGAGGAGCGAAAGCGUGGGGAGGCGAACAGG